GUCCUUGCAGCGCGAUGGAUAGCGCCUUGGACUUCUAAUUCAAAGGUCGUGUGCUCGAAUCCCACCUGGGAUA